rnacentral:rRNA from 1 species
UACGGAGGAUCCGAGCGUUAUCCGGAUUUAUUGGGCGUAAAGAGCGCGCAGGUGGUUGAUUAAGUCUGAUGUGAAAGCCCACGGCUUAACCGUGGAGGGUCAUUGGAAACUGGUCGACUUGAGUGCAGAAGAGGGAAGUGGAAUUCCAUGUGUAGCGGUGAAAUGCGUAGAUAUCGGGAGGAACACCGGUGGCGAAGGCGGCUUCCUGGUCUGUAACUGACACUGAGGCGCGAAAGCGUGGGGAUCAAACAGGAUUAGAUACCCUGGUA